ensembl:lncRNA
GAUGUGAUGCCUGUAAUGGGCUCUUUGUGAUGUUAUGUUUGUAAUGUGAUUUUUUUUGUUUGCAAUGCUUGUCGUGUGACAUGUUGCGAUGUUAAUGGUGGUUAACUCUAUACUUCAUUUGCCAUUCUGUCUUUGUGGUAUAUCAGAUUAACGCUAAAGUUAAUUUAGUAAAUUAGCUUAAUUUCUUAUAAACGCUGAAGUUAAUUUAGUUAAUUAGCUUAAUUUCAGAUUAACGCUAAAAUUGCACUUGUUGUGGUUCCAGCCUUGCCUGAGAAACACAGCUUAUAUUGGUCUGUUUUGACUAAAUGUUUCUAAAAACUUUCGUUUUUGAAGGAGAGAAGAGACAUUCAUGUUGAAUUGAAUUGGAUUGAUUUUAAUUGAAUGUUGUGUUUCUGGCAAAAUGACAGUGAUGCAGGUUUUUAUUGAAGGCCUUCUUUUAUUCCUCUCUUCCAGAAUUAUAAAAAGACUGUGAAAAGAGUAUGGAAUGCUAAGCAGAGUCCAGAGAAGAGUUACGAUUCUCUGAUUGACGUCCCCAAACAUGUGGGCAACCUUAGGUUCAGAGUUUGGAAGAAAAUGCAGGACAUUUGUCCCUACACUCCAGUGACCCUUGACCCCAACACUGCUGUUCCCUUUCUGCUCGUCUCUGAUGAUCUCACCAGUGUCCGGGACAGCGGUGACGUCACUGAUGAUGCAGACGUGCGUCUCCCGGACAACCCUGAGCGCUUCACCCACUGUGGUGAGAUGCUUGGCCGUGAGGUCAUUUCCACCUCCGUGCCACAAUGCCAGCCCC